AAUAUUGCACAAUGGGCGCAAGCCUGAUGCAGCCAUGCCGCGUGUAUGAAGAAGGCCUUACGGGUUGUAAAGUACUUUCAGCAGUGAGGAAGGUGGGUAUGUUAAUAGCAUACUCAUUUGACGUUAGCUGCAGAAGAAGCACCGGCUAACUCCGUGCCAGCAGCCGCGGUAAUACGGAGGGUGCGAGCGUUAAUCGGAAUUACUGGGCGUAAAGCGCAUGCAGGUGGUUUGUUAAGUCAGAUGUGAAAGCCCGGGGCUCAAACCUCGGAAUUGCAUUUGAAACUGGCAAACUAGAGUACUGUAGAGGGGGUAGAAUUUCAGGUGUAGCGGUGAAAUGCGUAGAGAUCUGAAGGAAUACCGGUGGCGAAGGCGGCCCCCUGGACAGAUACUGACACUCAGAUGCGAAAGCGUGGGGAGCAAACAGGAUUAGAUACCCUGGUAG
rnacentral:rRNA from 1 species